UUGACCUCGGAUCAGUAGUAGGAAUACCCGCUGAACUUAAGCAUAUCAAUAAGCGGAGGAA
rnacentral:rRNA from 1 species